ACUCAAUAGAUACCCUGGUAGUCCGCACCGUAAACGAUGAAUACUCGAUGUUUGCGAUAUACAGUAAAGCGUCCAAAGCGAAAGCGAUAAGUAUUCCACCUGGGGAGUACGCCCGCAAGGGUGAAACUCAAAGGAAUUGACGGGGGCCCGCACAAGCGGAGGAGCAUGUGGUUUAAUUCGAUGAUACGCGAGGAACCUUACCUGGGCUUGAAAGUUAGUGAUCGUCUCUGAAAGGAGAUUUUCCGCAAGGACACGAAACUAGGUGCUGCAUGGCUGUCGUCAGCUCGUGCCGUGAGGUGUUGGGUU
rnacentral:rRNA from 1 species